rnacentral:pre_miRNA from 1 species
AGUGGGAUGACUGGGUCAAAUGGUGAUUCUAUUCCAAGUUUUCUGAGGAAUCUCCACACUGCUUUACAGAGCGGUUGCAUCUAUUUGCAGUUCCACCAGCAAU